UCAGGCCUGGACACGACACUUCCAGCUCAAAUAAGGCUGAAUAAGGCUGAUUUGUGUUGAAUAAGGCUGAUUAACACAGAAAUCCUCUGGGAAGCCGAAGACAGCACACCAGUGUGGACUGGCUGCCCUCCCUUCUCAGUCGGACUUGAUCUCGCCAAAUCAAGAAUGGAUUAUUUGAAUCUGCGAGAUGUGAAAUGCAAACUCAGAGUGUUUGGUGGAAAGGUAAGGAAAACCAAUCUGGAAGCUGUAGUCAGAAGGACCGGGCUCUGAGGUGAGGACACCUUGAAGCCAGCCACGGCACGGACUGAACCGGAAAAAGCAGCAGGACCAGCCUGGGCGGCGGUCACAGGAGAGGAGGCACCGUGGUUUAAAAACAAAGCAGAACCCUCAGGCCUACCGUUCCCAGAAGCCAGAACAUCAGCUCCUCUGCGAGUACCUUCAACUGCUUUUCAUCCCUGUCCAGCCUGGCAGGUAGGACUGGUAUUUCCCCUCCUGUGGAGGAUGUUGUUGAGACAGCAGGCGUUCCCCCACCGCACUGGAAAUGCACUGGAAACGUAGGAGGGCCCCACGUUUAAAACCUGGCGAACACUCUCCAUUAAUUGACCAAGGCAGAAUUUGGCAACCUUCCUCUCUGAAGGACCAGAGAGGAAGUAUUUAAGGCUUUGACAGCCAUUUACGGUCAAUGUCACAAAUUUGUCUUUGUCUAAAGGCCACUUAAAAAUGACAAAAAGAAAAAAAAAAAACUUCUUAACAGAAUGUAUAAAACUAAGCCACAGCCCAGAAAGAGGGUGGACCUUUGGACAGGGUUUUUUUUUGCCUUUUUAUUAAAAAGUAAAAUAAAAUAAAUAGAGAUCUUGAGAAUCGUUCUAAAGUUGCUGAGAAAUGUUACAAAACUAGUCCAGUCCUAACUCACAUCCUGAGAAAUAACCAGGAGAGAGGUCAGUGUUCUGUGAUGGCAUCGCCGGUUCCCACAGGAGCAGAAGAAGUGGGUGCCCAAGAGUUCUGAAACCGCAGCAUCAAAAUAUCCUUUAUAUUUUGGGGAAUUCACAGCUCUCAUAAGGUUAAAAAGGCCACUUUUCCAGAAUCAGAAAAGGCUAACUGUUGCAUCGGACACAUUCUUUUUUUCACCCUGGUGAACUAGAAGAAAAGCCUUCUGGAAAGAACCAUGGCUUUAUCAACUGUGAUCCUUACCAAAAGCACAAACCACAACGCUGGACACAUUCUUUUGACUUGGAGAAUUCUGAGAGGAGCUGAAUUGAGAAUUCUACCCAACAGUCAGUGGCAGUGAGAGACUGGAUGUAUACACGGCCAGUGACCAGACCAUAUAUAAAGAUAGAACUCUGACCCACCAUCAGCAGUCACCAGCCCAGGAAGGCAACUCCUUAUCAGCAGGAAUCGGUCAUGGAAGCCAGUCGCUAUCUCCAAAUCAGACUGGUUGGAAGUUGGGCUGCUAUCUCCAGUAACAUUCCAGGGCAGCCAAAAAAUAGCAUGAUCAGCCCCAAAUGGCCAGGGUUUAAUUAAUUAUGGACAGUUUCCCUAAUUUUUGUCCCUGCUUCCAACUGAGCACCAACCAGAAUAACUCAGGGACUCUUUAAUUUGAGACACUGACGUUACAAAUGAAGAAAGUAAGGCACAGAGCUUUUUAAUCCCACAUUCCUUCCAUGAUGUUACAUUGCUUUCCUGAAGGUGAGGUCAUGUCACACCAGGCUGGGCUGAAGUCCCCUCCUUCUGUGAAAUGGAGCACAGAACCUCAUGAGUUAGCGGGGUGCCAUUUGUUUUAUUAAAUACCUACUAUGUGUCCAGUGUUACAGUGAAUAUAGAGACACAUACAAUACGAUCGGAUGAAUUAGUCGAAGAGGCCCAUAUACAGAGAAUUUGGAAAUUACAUAAAAUGCAUGAAGAACAUAAGAUGGCCUUUCCAAAGCACAUUCCAAAGAAUGUUAAUAACUGCUAAGUGAAAAAAGAGACUUCUGUAUCAAAAGCAUUCAGAAAUCAAAAUCCCAAAGAGUCCUUUUGUGGAUACCGACACACUGAUUCUGAAGUUCACGUGGAAUGGCAAAAGACUCAGAAUAACCAGCGCAGUGUUGAAAAGGAAGAACAAAGUUGGAGGGCCGGCAUGACCCAGCUCCAUGAACAUUUCCCCUGUUCUGUUGUCUAGCACACAACUGCCAUCCAAUGAAUAUUUAUUUCAUGAAUGAAAACCCUUCUCUAGCAAAUAGGAUGUGUGAAGGAAUGUUAGCAAUCAAUAAUAAUACGAUAAGAGUUA